rnacentral:lncRNA from 1 species
CUGAGAGUAAAAACGUUAUGUUUUUUGCUGGGGGUUUUGAAUGAAGUUCAAGAGGUUCCUAUGUUUGAACUCGUUCAAUGGACUUUGGGGCCAUUUUCAGAAAAAACAUACUUUUGUACUGUGGGAUACUACUCCAGUAAACUUCCUAGGGCAAGACUUACUUUCAAAGCUAAAAGAAUGCGGGCAAGAUGGCGGAUAGAAGGCAGGACUAGCUUGCAGCUCCGGCUCAGAGGAGACUCACCUCGUGAACUUUUUCUCCAAGAACUACUGCAGGACCAUACCAGAAAAGCUCAGAGAAUCCACAGACCCUUAGAAGGAACUAGAUCACUGCUGCGGGGCCCCUGAGAUGCCGGAAAACUAAAGCUAUAUUUAAAAGGGGGCUGAUACUGCUGUUUUCUAAGAUACUGCCACCAGAUACGUUAAGGAAAUCUCUCAAGAGAAAGGAACAGAUGACAUGUCUAUGGGAGCAACUGACAGUUGGUUUGUAAGCAUCCCGAAUGGUGAAUGGCAAGCUUGGCUUUUUCCAAGGUUUUCUAAAGUAUAAAUUUCUUCCCUUAGGUCUCCAGGUUAUUAUGACUUGUGUUACCAGGUAACAACAAAAAUGGCCUUUUAAAAUCAGGCCAUUUUACAGCAAACUAUAGUUCUUAAUCAUCACCAAAUCCUGCACCAAGGACUAUGCCCAACUAGAGUCAAAUAUUGUUAAACUGCCUAUAUUGUCUGAACUUUGACCUGUUUGAUUUGGUUAGGUUCGUUGAGUUCAUUUCUUAGAACUUGUUGAGGAGUACACUUUGGACUUGUUUGUUUGUUUGCUUGUUUGUUUUAAGAGGUAGUGUCUGUGUAUGCUGCCCAGGCUGGAUUCAAACUCCUGGGCUUAAAAGAUCCUCCUGCCUCAGCCUCUCAAGUAACUGGGACUACAGGCUCAUACCACGGCAACCAGCUGGUCUUUUCCUAUUAUUUUCUUGAUCGUCAUAAUAGUCCCUUGAUAUGGUUUGGCUCUGUGUUCCCACCCAAAUCUCACCUUGAGUUGUUAUAAUCCCCACAUGUUGUGAGAGGAACCUGGCGGAAGGUAAUUGAAUCAUAGGGGCAGGUUUUUCCCAUGCUAUUCCAUUGAUAGUGAACAAGUCUCAUGUUCUCCCUCACAAGCUUUCUUGCCUACCACCAUGUAAGAUGUCCCUUUGCUCUUCCUUCAUCUUCCUACAUGUUUGUGAGGCCUCCCCAGCCAUGUGGAGCUGUGAGUCCCUUAAACUUCUUUCCUUUAUAAAUUACCCAGUCUUGGGUAUGUCCUUUUAGCAGUGUGAGAACAGACUAAUAUAUCCCCUGGGGCACGGCAUCAUCUCAAGUCUUAAAUGUUUUCUUUUUUUUUUUUUUUUUUUUGAGAUGGAGUCUCACUCAGUCACCCAGGCUAGAGUGCAAUGGCGCGAUCUUGGCUCACUGCAACCUCCACCUUCCAGGUUCAAGCAAUUCUCCUGCCUCAGCCUCUCGAGUAGCUGGGAUUACAGGCGUGUACCACCACACCUGGCUAAUUUUUGUAUUUUUAGUAGAGACGGGGUUUCACCAUGUUGCCCAGGCUGGUCUUGAACUUCUGACUUCAAAUAAUCCACCCGCCUCAGCCUCCCAAAGUGCUGGGAUUAUAGGCGUGAGCCACUGCACCCAGCCACUCAAGUUCUUAUGUAUGAACUGCAAACUAACUUAGUAUUAAACAAACUGAAAACCUAAUUUAGGGGUGAGCUUCUGUAACAAUAGCUAAGUCUCAACCAAUCACAACAGCCAUGCAUUAGUCAAUCACAGGCGGCCAGCUGUUCAGACCAUGUUCAAAUAAGGCGAAUACUGUGCUGUAACCAAUGCAGCUGUUUCUCUACCUCACUUCUAUUUUCUGUCCUUUGCUUUUCUUCUUCUGCCAUAAAUUUAUCUGCCCAUACAGCAGCCCUGAAGUCUCUCUGAAUCUGUUCCGAUUCUCAGGACUGCCAGAUUCAUGAAUCAUUUUUUUUUCUUUUUCUUGCUCAGUUAAACUCUGUUAAAUCUAAUUUGUCUAAAGUUUUUCUUUUAACCCUGCCAAGUAGCUCUUUCCAUCUGGUUCUUGUCUCAUGAUGUAAGUGUUUCUCUGCCUUUUCAUCUCUGAAACAGAGUCACCUGGCAUUGGUAAUAUUCUGUUCUGAUCACCUCUAAUGGGAAACUAGCUGUAAAGAUGCUGUUUACUAUUACAGUCAGAAAUUCACAUCGUUUACUGUUUUGCUUUUGUGUUAUGUUUUAAAGAUAACAUCGUAUGGCCUUCUUUCUGAAGGGCCUGAAGAAGCCUUUGGACCAAAGCAAUAAAAUUCUGACCUUCAAAAAAGAUUAUAUCACAUAAUUUUCUACCUUUAAAAAUUGUAUAACAUUUUUUAUUCUAAAAUAAAAAGCAUAGGUACACAAACCUAAGCUUUAUUCCCAAAAAAGAUGUUUUCUAAGGGAAUAUAUUCAGGUUACAAAAUGCUAUUUUUAGGGAGCUAAAUGAUAAGAACUUAUGGACACAGAGAAGGAAACAACAGAUACUGGGGCUUACUCAAGGCGGGAGGGUGGCAGGAGGGAGAGGAGCAGAACAGGUAACUAUCAGGUACUGAGCUUGAUACCUGGAUGAUGUAAUAAUAUGUACACCAAAGCCCCGUGACAGGUGUCUGUCUAUGUAACAAACCCUCAAAUGUACCCCUAAACCUAAAAUAAAAAUGUUGUUUU